CACUACAACAAUUUAGGCUUUAUACGACACUUUUUUUACCUGACUGUUCAAUAACCGUCGUAUAAAAAGGAUUUUUGACGCUUUUUUAAUCAAUUUUGACACUAAAAAACCGUCGUGUAAGAGAAUAUUGUUGACGUUUUUUAAACCAAUUAUGACUCAUAAAAACCGUCAGAAUAGAAAGUCUAAUUUAAAUAUUUAAUUAACUAAUAUUAAAUAUGAACCAGAUUUAAGUUAAUAAAAAAAGUCUCUCACAUUUUUUUUCUCUUAAUACUUUCUCUCUCCCGUCAUUUAGAAAUGCUAGGGCUUUUCUUCGAUCCUGCUACGCCACCGCCACCGCAACCGGCUCCGUCACCCUCACCAUCACCGGCACCACCAUCGUUACGACCACCGGUCCGCCUCCGCCGUCACAUUGACGUUUUACAUUGCUAAUUAGGUUUUAAGUUUCUCGUCUUAAUUUCUUUUCACAUUCGAGUUUAGUCGCGAUUUGAUUGUCAAAUUUGUAUCCAUCCGACUUCACCAGACACUGAAUUUUCUCAAUCGCGAUUUGAUAUCCGAUUCUAGGUGAACACUUUUCUCCUUCCAUCUUAUAUUUUAUGUUUUGGUUAAUUUUCAGUAAUCCUAGUUUUGUGAAUAAAUGAGUUUGAAGUAAACUUCAAUUAGGUCGCUUUUCACUGAACUUUUAUUUCAAUGAGUGCGCUGCUUGUAGAAUGGAUGAAUGUAUGAAGCAUUCAUUUGAUACUUGGGUAAUUGAAAAUGUGAUAGCUAGCUGGUUGGGUUUCUGAGAAAAUGACAAAAUUAUGAAAUCUCGAUCUGAAUGACUUAGUUUUAGCCUCUCUUUUCUUGUCCUUAUUGCUAGAAUUUAAUUUCUAAAACAGUUUUUGGGGAUUGGAGAUAUUGUAGAAUCACUAAUCAGCUACUGGUAUACUUUUCAGUUAUCUUUAUUCCAUUCUGAUUUUAAUGGAGGUUAUUUUUCUUCUUAAAAUGCCUCGGUUGGGAGAUUUCACCUGGCUCUCUUUUCAGGUUAUUGACACCAACUUAGAUUAUUGGAAACUGGAUCCUCUCGGGUAUACUUUGGUUAUAUUCCAUCCCUUUCUUCUCUUUUUUGUGUUUGUGCGAAGUGUUUGAGUUAGUUCCCUUGCUCUACCUUUUAUAUCUCUCUCACUGACUAACUUCCCUGCAAAAGCAUCACGAAGGGCUGGAUAUGGAAGGUUACCUAGUAUUCUCUUGCUUUACCCACUAGGGAAUUGGCCACACAGGGGUACGCAACUUAAGGAGGCACUACAACUGCAACUAGACCUUCAAAAUGAGUCUUUAUGAGCAACUAGAGGUUAUUCAUUGUAGCUGAGGUGGACGAUAAAAUUUUAUCAUACUUCCAGGUAUCAUUAUUGCUUUCAACCCAAUUUCCAGUUCUGUUUUUGUUCUCACAGGGUUAUGAACCAUGGAAAAUGCAUACAAUAGAGAAUGCCUUUCAGGAGAAUCCAGCAGUAGUUGCUGAUAAACUUUCAUAUUCAAAUAAUUCUCUGAGUAAGGUCUUGAUUGGAUGAUUCAAGAAUUCUGGCCUUGCAUAGACUUUAGAAGUGAAUGUAAAUUCAGAUGUAUAGACUUUAGAAGUGAAUGUAAGUGUCGUUUUAAACAUAAAUUUCAUGAAGUUUGGUUUUACAUACUUUUGGAAAACAAGAAUUCAUGUAUUUGGGGAAUCUUAGUGAUUUUUGGCAUCUGUAUAUGUUCUCGUUGGGAAAUUAUAAUAAUUUUUGGCAUGCAGCUACAUUUUUUAA